UUCUAGUUUUUUUUUAUUAAAUUUAUUAAAUUAAAAUAAAUACCUUUUCCACCAUUCUGUUAGUGCGUCUUCCGCGCAUAACGACGUAAAAUCGUCGGUCCCUUGAAAGUCGCUAUAAUCGGAUUCUACUGUAAUAUAGUAAAAGUCUAAUAUACGAAUAUACAGCCGUGGACGUAUAAAUAGCACAAAAUGAAGUUCAUCUUUUUGAAUAGUUUUUUUAAUUAAAAAAAAUUUCUUGGAAAUAAAACAGCUUUCGUUCUUCAUAGCUUAGCUUAUAAACUAAUAAAUUAAUUAAUCAAAAUGAAUAAAUGUUAAAAAAAAAAGAUGUGAAAAUUUAAAAACUAAAAAACAACGAAAAAUGCGUGGUCACAGAAAUAGCACAAUUUCAAAAUAUCUUCAAUUAAUCAUAAAAAAUAAGUUUAAAAGUAAUUAAUGCAAAGCAAAUUUAAUAUUUGAUUGAGUAUCCAUGAUUUUUGAUGACUGCGUUACAUCUUCAACCCAUACUCUCCACAAGAUCCUGACAUCUAUCCUUUGGAAUGGAGUUCCAGGCUUCUUGGACACCUUUCCACAAAUCGUCAAGAUUCGAAAUUUUUUUUUGGAUAUCAUAACCUUGACAUCAUUCCAUAGAUUUUCUAUUGGAUUUAUGUCAGGGCUUUGAGCCGGCCAUUCCAGAACUUGGAUGGAUUCGUCCUUCAACCACUUUUUAACGACACGAUAUGUGUGCUUUGGGUCGUUGUCGUGCUGGAAUGUCCAUUUCAGAGGCAUGUUCUCAAACGUAAAUGGUUCCAUUUGAUUUUUGAGAAUGUCCACAUACAUAAAGCGAUCCAUUACGCCAUUGAUCCGGUAAAGCGGACCCACACCUCGCCAGGAAAAUGCACCCCAGCACAUAAUGGAACCGGCACCGUGCUUAACAGUCUUCAUGGUGUACCUGGGGUUAAGAGCUUGGCCUUUUGGACGACGAACAAAUGUUUUCCCAUCGGGUCCUACUUUAUUAAUUUUUGUUUCAUCGCUCCAAAGGAUGUUUUUCCAAAAACUCAGGUCCUUAUCACUGUGGGCCCGUGCGAAACUUAAUCGUUGCGAUAUGUUGCGUUUUGACAGGAGCGGUUUUUUUCUGCUGAUGCGUCCAAAGAGGGAAGCUUCAUUUAGUCUUCUUGCCACUAAUUCCUCGAUACAUUUGUGCCACAUUCUUUAUUUAUUUCCUCCAUAAUUUCGCGGGAGGACUUGAAAGGAUCCGCCUUGCUCUUCCGUACUAUGAGCAUAUCUGUACGCGGAUCAGUUUUUCGUGGCUUUGGUUUGCGUUUUUUUUGAUUGGUCAAAUAUGCUGUGUUUUCCUUCACUACCUUUAGUGCAUUAUAUACCAUUUUCCUCGAACAUUUCAUUAUUUCGGCAAUUUCAGCAGGUGUAUUGCCAGAUUCAGUUAGGUUGAAUAUCAUCCUCCUUUUUUCAACUGAACAAUGCUUUCCUCGACCCAUUUUUUUAACUUUUGUAUUAAAUUACAUUAAUUUGUUGACGAAAUUUUUUAAAUCACGAAAAAAAACUUAGAAAAACCACUUUUUACACGGGAUUUGCUGUAAGUUCUUUAAAGUGUGCUAUUUCUGUGACCACGCUAAAAAAUCGCUCGCGAACGAAAAUUAAGUAUAAAGCAGAAGAAAAAAAUGAUAAUGGUAAAUUUUUGGGUUGUACGUCAUCUAGAAGAGAGCAAUAAUCAAUUCACAUCAAAAUUUUUGGAAUCGAAAGCCAAAUACUUCUGAAAUAAUCGAUCUAAAGUUACUGUUCUGAUGUGUGCUAUUUAUACGUCCACGGCUGUAUGAGCGAAGUUUCUGGAAUUUAAAGAUUAUAAUUGAAUUUCAAGCAACUAAGAUGCGUACAACCGCAUGGAAUAUGCAAAUAUACCAUCAGAAGUCGAUUUAGUAAUGCUUUAUGUUCAAAACUCUAUACUAAUAUUAAUACUAGCUACUUCGCACUAGCAAAGUUUUCCUCAUAGUUCCAUUUCAUUCACGUUUUCUGCAACUUACAUUCCACUACGCCCCAUCGCGAUAUAGACACAUGUUGGCGCCUCAAUGCCGCCCUGCAUACGAAUUCAUUCAACUCAAGAGCGCUGGCCAAAUCAAAUCGAACUAAACUUAAGUGACCCCGUCGAGUGGCGGUCGAGCGGGCGACCGCCCAACUAUAAAUAACCGAGUGGAAUAGGCGUCCAAACAUUAGCAAUGAAAUCAUGCAAACCGAAAGAUACAAAGAUACAAACAGAUAUCGGGGAGUACAGAAAAGCAAGGCAUGCGCGGCACAUGGACGUGGAUAAUAUAUCUUCGCGAUGCGUGGCAAGGUCGUUUAUUUCGGUUGAGAACUGUUUGGAAAAUAUUCAAAACUGAAUUUAUAGAAGGCGGUCCAUAGAACGAAGUGAUUUUCAUGUUUUGAACUUGACAUUGAAUGUUGGCGGAGCGAUAAGCUGUUGUUUUCAAUUGCCAUCUUGUGAUUCACACUCGCCCAUCAUCUCUGGAAUUAGUUUGCCGAUGAUGAGGCCAUUGUUUUCAUCCCCAAUCCCGAUUUGGGGCACUGCGAUCAUCCAACUGUACUUGGGGCACGUGACGCCUGAGCUCCCAGAUGAUAAGGGGAUCAGAGAACUGGGGACGGUCAGCUGACCAUGCCCAUAUGUACUUACAUAAUCCUCAGAUACGUGACCGCUCGAAUUCAUCUAGACCCAAUGGUCAUGUGAAAACAGAUGUGGAAUCUUCCUGCUAGUCAAGAGCAAAUAUUUUUCACGCUGAUAACACUGCAAGACAUCUUCGGAGUAAACGGAAUAUGUAACCAAGUAAUUAGGAGCAGACUUGGACAACCCUGUUCCACUUCAGUACGCACUAACAACUAGAUUAUGGCACUUGAUAUAUGGCCGCUAAAAAUAACUGCCAAAGCCAAUGUUUGGUUGCUGGUUUCAUUCUUGGGGGAGAGUUUCCAGUAAACAGUGGAUAAUUUGUGCGGGCGAGUUCGCCUAUUUAUAGAGUGUCGAGUUCAUGCUGAUAAGGCGGCAGUAAAGGAACGCAUGCAAACACCAUUGAAACCGUCAAACAAAACGAACCAUGUGGAAGUGGAAAUACAAGCGGCCCCCACACAAAAUAUUAGCAAUUAAAUUCUAAUUAGCCACUAAUGGCAAAACGUGCUGGAGUCAACGUCAGCAAUUCCGCUUCACUGCUGCGGUGGCACCUGUGCAAACGGAGCAUUGGACAUGGUAAGGUAUGGUACAUGGUAUAUGGAAUAUGGAAUCUAUGGCUAGUAUUGUUUGGGCCACAUGCCAUGUGCUCGGCUAAUGUAUCGGAGCCACAGAUAAACGAACUACACGCGCCUUGAACGCGCUUUUGGCUUAAGAAAUUGAAUUUCGGGAAUUUCCGUGAGUGGUUGCCAUUAUGCCCGGUUGGUUAGGUGGUUGGGUGGUUUAGUUGAGAGUAGAGUACACUGGCCCGCUUAAUAACGCCAUUUAUCAUUAGCAUUUGGGGCUUGCCAGUGACUUUGCCUUUGGCUUAACCGGUUUUCAUAAGCUGCGGGAAAAUUGCAGGUCCAGAUACCGCAGGCUCCCCUUUUAAAAGCCAUAUUUCACUUUAGUGAAAUGUCAACGAAACGGGGGGAUUUUACUUUGAUUCGCUUGGAUGAUCACAUGUCGCCGGCUAUCAGAUCUUAUCUAACGGGACUGGCAGAUGACGGGAUCGUAAAGACAUCGUUAACUGGUUUACGAUGUCUGGAUGAAGGCGCAGGAUGAAGAUGAUAUGGUCUUGACGCCAAAAGUUCUUCAAACAGACGCCAUGGGAUAUAAUGGUAAAGUGGUAUAAUGAUAAUUGCGUGUGAUAAUACUAUCGGCAGGAAUAUAUAGAGGUAGCUUAAUUGCUAUAAAGGAAAUUAUUUUAUAAUUUGAAGAAGCAUUAGUUGCACCUAAGAAACAGUUUCUUUAUACUGAAACUAACAAACAAGUGCUCAAUCAAGCAACCUAUUAAUCAUAAUUGACCGUUUAAUAAUAUUUAUGAGGCUUUAAUGGCACGCAAACCGUCACUACUUACGCCAAGAAUGAAUUAAGCAAUCAGUGAUAUUUCCUGUUUUUUAUUUUAAGCAUAGCUUAGAAU